UGGGGAAUCUUCCGCAAUGGACGAAAGUCUGACGGAGCAACGCCUCGUGAGUGAAGACGGCCUUCGGGUUGUAAAGCUCUGUUAUUCGGGAAGAACGAUUCGUUUGUGAACAAUGAACGGAAGUGACGGUACCGAAAGAGAAAGCCACGGCUAACUACGUGCCAGCAGCCGCGGUAAUACGUAGGUGGCAAGCGUUGUCCGGAAUUAUUGGGCGUAAAGAGCGCGUAGGCGGUAUGGUAAGUCUGUCUUAGAAGUGCGGGGCUUAACCCCGUGAGGGGACAGAGACUGUCAUACUGGAGUCUCGGAGAGGAAAGCGGAAUUCCUAGUGUAGCGGUGAAAUGCGUAGAGAUUAGGAAGAACACCGGUGGCGAAGGCGGCUUUCUGGACGAGCACUGACGCUGAGGCGCGAAAGCGUGGGGAGCGAACAGG
rnacentral:rRNA from 1 species